UACAUGGUGGGGCAAGCGUUGUUCGGAAUUACUGGGCGUAAAGAGUGUGUAGGCGGUGUUCCCAGUCUGUUGUGAAAUCUCCCGGCUUAACUGGGAGGGUGCAGCGGAAACUAGAAUGCUAGAGGGUGGGAGAGGUAAGCGGAAUUCCUGGUGUAGCGGUGAAAUGCGUAGAUAUCAGGAGGAACACCUGUGGUGUAGACAGCUUACUGGACCACUUCUGACGCUGAGACACGAAAGCGUGGGUAGCAAACAGG
rnacentral:rRNA from 1 species